AUGUGGAUUAUUUGCAGCAGAAAAUUCCUCUACUUCUCUGUGGUGGUGUUUAUGGUUGUCAUCAUGUGGAUGAUAUGCUGUCAAGUUGGAGCCAUUCGUGUGUUCCCAUCAAAUGGUGUUGUUGCCAAAGUAAAAUUCAGCCAUAGCAUUAUGGAUAAGAAAGGUAAGGAGGAUUUCUUUCAUAAGUACUUCAAUGGAAAAAGUAGUAGCAAGCAGUUUGAUGAAAGCAAAAGAAAAGUGCCAAGUUGUCCAGAUCCUCUCCACAAUUAA